rnacentral:rRNA from 1 species
GCCUAACCAUAAAGCCCAGCCCACUUAUCCAACACUGAUUACACCCACAAAACAAACCAUUUGACAAAAAAGUAUUUGAGAAAGAAAUUUAAAACCGGCGCAAUACAAACCGCAAGGGACAAUUGAAAGAAAAAUGAAAUACCAAAGCACAAUAAAGCAAAGAUUAACCCUUGUACCUCUUGCAUCAUGAUUUAGCAAGAAACAUCAGGCAAAGAGACCUAUAGUCCGCCCCCCCGAAACCUAGUGAGUACUCCCGGGCAAUUUAUAUGAUCA